CUACGGGCGGCAGCAGUGGGGAAUUUUGCGCAAUGGGGGAAACCCUGACGCAGCAAUACCGCGUGAGUGAAGAAGGCCUUUGGGUCGUAAAGCUCUUUUCUUGGGGAAGAUAGUGACGGUACCCAAGGAAUAAGCACCGGCUAGACUCCGUGCCAGCAGCCGCGGUAAUACGGAGGGUGCAAGCGUUGUUCGGAUUUACUGGGCGUAAAGGGCACGUAGGCGGCACAGCAAGUUAAGGGUGAAAUCCCGGGGCUCAACUCCGGAACUGCUCUUAAAACUGCUGAGCUAGAGAUAGUCAGGGGCGGGUGGAAUUCCAGGUGUAGAGGUGAAAUUCGUAGAUAUCUGGAGGAACACCGGUGGCGAAAGCGGCCCGCUGGGGCUAUUCUGACGCUAAGGUGCGAAAGCGUGGGGAGCAAACGGGAUUAGAUACCCGGGUAGUC
rnacentral:rRNA from 1 species